rnacentral:rRNA from 1 species
GACGAGGGGUCCUAGCGUUGUUCGGAAUCACUGGGCGUAAAGCGUAUGUAGGCGGCUUUUCAAGUCAGGUGUGAAAUCCCAUGGCUUAACCAUGGAACUGCAUUUGAAACUGUAAAGCUUGAGUAUUAGAGAGGAUGGUAGAAUUCCUGGUGUAGUGGUGAAAUACGUAGAUAUCAGGAGGAAUACCGGUGGCGAAGGCGGCCAUCUGGCUAAAUACUGACGCUGAGAUACGAAAGUGUGGGGAUCAAACAGG